GUCGUUAUGAUGCAAACUUUAAAUUGGACCAAUCAGUGUCCGCUAUUCAUGACAGUCCGCCAUAUUUUUGAGAUCAGUGAGGAUGACCACCCACUCAACACCGUUGGUCACCCACGCCCGCGAUACUUGAUGAACUUUAGACUCCGCUAAUGCUUUCGUUUCCCCGGGUGUAAAUAGCCGGGGGGAAUUAGUACCCUCGCACGGCGCUUCGCGCCGUCGGCUCGGGGAUUAGGUACGCCAACGUACAUGUAUCUGCGCCAAAUGUUCACACUAUAAGUCAGUAAUUGUAGCCUUUCAGUCGCGCUGUUUUUGUCAUUGUUGAAUGUUGUGGUUAUUGUAGACUAAAUAUAGAUAGAGGUUAUUGUAG